UGGUUACUGAUGAAAUAUUAUUUCAUAAAUUAUAUUGUCACGUAGCUUAUUGCAACACAUGAGGCACCAUCGGUGAUUGGACACUACAAACGCAUCAUAAGUAAUAUAGAUCAAGAUGAUCCAGAUCUAUUCACCUUUCCAUUUCAUAGGUUUCACAGUAGGGAAAAGUUGUAUGAAAAGAACUAUGUAUGUUACAUAUAAAAAGUAUAGAGUGCAUACUUCGGGCUAGAUUGCCGCUAGAUUAUUCAGUUUUAUUUCUUGCCUGCCAGUGGGGCUAACAUUCGUAAUGAGCCUGUUUUCUCUCGACCGUUUGGGGUUUGGAUAACAGCGUACUGAGGAUUGCAUGUUGCUAAAUCAACUUCUUCUGUUAUGGGAUCAUAUUUAAACGAUCUAAUGUUCUUCUUCAGCAGGACUG